rnacentral:lncRNA from 1 species
AUGAGUGAGAAUCUUAGUAAGUAAGAGGUGAGUUUAUAAUUUUAACUAGAUCACCCUAAUGAUAUAAAUUAGGAGAUAACCUAAUUUAUGGAGUUUCCAUCAUAUGUAAAAUCGGAAUUUGAGAAUAGAUAAGAGGCUAUAGAAGGUGCAAGAGUAAAGCUAGGAACUUGGAGGAAUUUAGAGAAUUAAAAUCAUAUUUUUUCCACUGUUGCUAGGAUAAUCAAGUAAGGGGAAGAAGUUUCUUCAUAAAUGGGUAUAAUGCAUGAAGGGUAGAAUGAGGAAUCCUUAACCUCCAAUGUGAUUAUUGGGUUUUUGAUUGAAUUCUGAAAUUUGGUGAUGAAUUGAUGUUAUAUGAUGAUGUUGGUGAUAAAAUUCGUGUACUAUUAUGUGUGAAAAUUUUGUUUAUGUUUGUAUUGAACUCCUAUAGUAUUGUGUUGAAAAAGCUUUGAAAACAUAACUUGAAAAUUGAUGCUUUUGUUGAUGUAAAUAUGUGAUAUAUUGCGAACUUGUUGUUUUAAUCAUUGGAUAAUUAUAGUAUGUCGAAUUCUGAGCUUUCUGCUUUUUACGGGAUCAAAAUUGGAGCUCUGGAAGUGCUUCAAUGGGGGAAAUUCGCAAAACAACAUUUUUGGGUUAUGGGUAUCGCUAGGGGUCGUGGAAACUGCUACGGAUGGUCGUAUCAGCUCCCUGGAUUUUGUAAUAGGUGAGACAUUUUAGAGCAUAACUUGAGUUUCAGGACUCAAAUUGAGGCACGGUUUAAAGCGUUGGAAAGCUAACGUGAAAUAUUAUACCAUGGUGCUGGUUUAAGAGUUUAGUUAUGUAUGUAUAAUGAAUGGAGAUGAAAUCGUAUGGAUACAUGUGAUGUAUUGUCAUUAUAAAGGUGAAAUAAUCAUGAAACAAUGGUGUUGUUCGAUAAUGUUAAGUGUUAAUCCUACUGAUUAUACUACCAUGUGAUUAUGAAUAAUUGAUGAUGAUGUUAUGUUGAAUGUGUAAGUUGUUAUUUGACAUGCUACCGUAUGAGCAUAAAUCAUAUUAAUGUAUUAUGUGAUGUUGUUGUGGGAUAAUAGUUCGGG